GAAUGACACCGUGCACCGCAUUUCAUGGAAAUAAAAGGAGAGCUCCUUUGUUGUAAAUUCAUGCAUACGCUCUUGGGAAAUUAGGGCACACAACAGAUGUAAAUCAGCUUUUAAUCCAGGUCCCAGUGUGGACAGUACAGAAGAGAGCAGUGGUGGGAGUCAGGAGAAAAGAGAAUCCUAACUCGUGCCAAAGAAGAGAAAAGAAUAUCCUGUUUGUUUUGUUUUUUUUUUUUUUUUAAAUCAGGUUGGAUCACUUAUAUGUACACUCAGAUACUAGUUUCUCUCUAUAUUGUUGAAUGCUCUCUUUCUUUCUUAAUUACUGGAGUUAAAGUGAAGCUUGACCCUAGUUAGAGAAAUCUCCAGCAGGACCUUCCUGGUCUGAAACACUAGGACCUCGUUUCAUAGAGGGGCCUCCAAUAGGCACGGGAUUCCUGCAGGGCAAGACACUUGGAAGGCUGCAGAAGAACUGCUCUUAGAGUCCCCCAGGAGCCCCUCAGGGCACAGUGCAUCCAGAGGUACCCAGUUCCCAGCAGGCUAGGGAUUCUUUGGGACUGGGUGGUGAGGCUUGCACCCUUUUCCUGAGCACCUCAUGUGCAUGCUCAGUCAUGUCCAACUCUUUGUGACCCCAUGGACUGUAGCCCACCAGGCUCCUCUGUCCACGGAAUUUUCCCGGCAAGAAUACUGGAGUGGCUUCCCAUUUCUUUCUCCAGGGGAUCUUCUUGACUCAGGGAUAGAACCCAUGUCUCCUACAUUGGCUGGUGGACUCUUUACCACUGUGCCACCUGGGAACCCUCCUGUGUACCUUGGGGAUCCUCUAUUCCCCUUCUCAAGCUGCCUCUGCACAAGUUUGUUUCCGCAUGAGCCGCUCACGGGCCAGGGAAAACCCACCUACCUAAACUGUGAUUUGAGCGGCAAGGAAUCGGAGAGGUGGGGCAGGCGGAAGCUGAGUAUAGUCCUGCAACCCGGGAGAGGAAGUGAAGCCAUUUUCCUUUUCAAAGAAGUCAGUUCCACAGUGCACUACCUCCAAUCUUCCAUCUUCUCUGCCCUCCUCAGAUUUGCUUAAUACUUAUAUCUUCUUGUAUAUAGUGGACAUUUUGUUUCUCUUCUUGUUCUAUUUGAUUGUGUUGUUUUUUAUUUUUGGCUGCCAAGCUUUUCUUAUUUGGGGUCACCCUCCACUGUUUAGACAAACUCAUCUGUUCUAAGAGGUAUUUCCCUGAAGUGAUUAAGUUUCUAUAUUAUCAGUGCAGCCUAAGGUUUUUGAACAGUAAUAAUAAAUGUUGCUUUAAAUGAUAUAGAAACCAACAAAAACACCCCAAACCCUCAGUAUAAUCAAUAUAAAGUUUAUACUAACUUUUAACAUUCACAUACACAUACUU
ensembl:lncRNA